rnacentral:rRNA from 1 species
CCUUAGAUGUUCUGGGCCGCACGCGCGCUACACUGAUCAAGUCAACGAGUUUACAACCUUGGCCGGAAGGUCUGGGUAAUCUUUUGAAACUUGAUCGUGCUGGGGAUAGUCCAUUGCAAUUAUUGGACUUCAACGAGGAAUUCCUAGUAAGCGUGAGUCAUCAGCUCGCGUUGAUUACGUCCCUGCCCUUUGUACACACCGCCCGUCGCUACUACCGAUUGAAUGUGUUAGUGAGGCCUUCGAAUUGACGAUGAGGAGCCGGCAACGGCACUUUGUUGGUGAGAAGUUGGUCAAACUUGUGCAUUUAGAGGAAGUAAAAGUCGUAACAAGGUU